ensembl:lncRNA
AUGCAUGCUGUAAAUACUCGUAUUAAAUUUAAAUGCAGUAUUUCUGGGAGCAGAACACCGUUGAUGAGAUUCCCAUUUCUGCCAGAAGGCGUCACCUAUAGUGAAGACCGAAUGUCUGGAGCAGGCCACAGGAGACAUAUGAUUCUCAUUGUGAGGAUGAAAGGCUUCCCAGUCUUUCGUAUGUCUGGGAGAGCCGGAUUGGGUGGGUGGAAGCACUUGUGUCGUGAUCCCCUCUCAUCCAUGUGGUGUUGCUUUAUGCUCCGUGGGUAUGGAUUCAUUGUAGUGAAAUUGAAACUUCAUGACAUGUCAUUGUUAUAAACUUAUAAAUAAUUUAUUUCGCCCCGAAGAGCGAUCGCUGCUUCAGAGGUGCCCAAUUGGCUGAGACAUGGUUUGUCUUUGACCCAGUUUGACCAUGUUGAAACAUUUUCCCUUUUUAUCUCUCAUGCGCGCUCACAUUCAACUCUAGCCGCUUUUCAGCACGUCGCUUAGCCUGUUUUUAACUUUUUGCUUCAUAAAAAAUCCAUAAAACCUCACAUGUCGCAAUGCCUUUUUGUAUUGUUUUAUGGUGGCUGCUUGGGAAGGGUAUAAAAAAAUCAUAGUAGAAAUGAACCCUGUAGACUUCGCUAUCUGCCUCGUCAUCACUGCUAGCUAGUUCACUUGCUAACAUAUGUCUGUCAAUGAGCUUAUAUUUUCACCUUAUCCUCGAAGACUACAGCUGGCCUGCUCUUAAUGCUCUUUGUACAUAAACCCCGCUCUUAGUCACAGGUGCUUUUUCCACCUUGCAUAGGAUAAAGAGUCUGAUUCAUGCUAGUUUUUGCUUAAAUCGUACAGUUUGUGACCUGACCUGUGCACAUACUGCACCAGAAAAGUGAUUUUUUUAGUAGAGAAUAUGUACUGGCCCGGUUCUUCAGGUUCUCCCACUGCUAAGUUAAUUAGUGUCUUUUGAAAAGUUCAUUGUUGAUGUUGGGCCAGAAAUGUUUUACUUUUCAAAUAAUUUUUGUGGUGUUUUAUGCAUGUUGGGGAAUCUAGGAGUGAAGAUGUUUCUGCUACCUGGUAUGCAAGGCCAGUGUCUCUUUGAUGUCUUGCUCAGAAGCACAGGUACGCAGCUGAUUAAGAAACUGGGCUGGUACUACAAAGAUUUGAUUGAAGUGUUAACUAGAUCAGACUCCAUUGGGAACAUUUGGUUUUCUGAAAUUACUCUGGGUUAAAAAAUAAGACAUCAGAGAAAUAGCAAGCAACUGGAUCUCAGAAGACUGUAAAAUGUGCCCAUUUAGGAAGCGCUGCAGACUCCGGCUGGUUUAGGCCUAGAGGAUAAUUUUAUUGAUUAGAGGUUGCUCAUUUAUUUCUCAUGAGAUCCAGUGGAGGCCUCAGUUAUUUGUUCAUUUUGGUGUGAACUUUGUCUCAGAUGUUUCUGCUAAAAAUCCUUAAAAUACAUCUCCAUUCAAACAUUUGGGGUUGGUAUGUUUUUAAAAGAAGUAUAUUUUGCUUACCAAGGCUGUAUUUUCCUGAUCAAAAAUAUAGGAAAAACAGUAAUAUUCUGAAAUAUUAUUACAAUUUAACACAGCUGUUUUCUAUGUUAAUAUAUGGUAAAAUAUAAUUUAUUGCUGUGAUCAAAGCUGUAUUUACAGCAUCAUUACUCCAGUCUUCAGUGUCACAUGAUCCUUCAGAAAUCACUCUAAUAUGCUGAUUUGCUGCUCAAGAAACAUUUCUGAUUUUUCAGUGUUGUGCUGCUUCAUAUUUUUGUGGAAAACAUGAUACUUUUCAGGAUUCUUUGAAGUAAAAAAAAUAAAAAAAGCUUUUAUCUGAAACAAAUCUCUACUGUC